rnacentral:rRNA from 1 species
GUCGAGGGGCAGCAUGGAAGUUUGCUUGCAAACUUUUGAUGGCGACCGGCGUCACGGGUGAGUAACACGUAUCCAACCUGCCUCAUACUCGGGGAUAGCCUUUCGAAAGAAAGAUUAAUACCCGAUGUCAUAGUCCUACCGCAUGAUGGGAUUAUUAAAGAAUUUCGGUAUGGGAUGGGGAUGCGUUCCAUUAGUUAGUUGGCGGGGUAACGGCCCACCAAGACAACGAUGGAUAGGGGUUCUGAGAGGAAGGUCCCCCACAUUGGAACUGAGACACGGUCCAAACUCCUACGGGAGGCAGCAGUGAGGAAUAUUGGUCAAUGGACGAGAGUCUGAACCAGCCAAGUAGCGUGAAGGAUGACUGCCCUAUGGGUUGUAAACUUCUUUUAUAUGGGAAUAAAAUGUUCCACGUGUGGGAUUUUGUAUGUACCAUAUGAAUAAGGAUCGGCUAACUCCGUGCCAGCAGCCGCGGUAAUACGGAGGAUCCGAGCGUUAUCCGGAUUUAUUGGGUUUAAAGGGAGCGUAGGUGGAUUGUUAAGUCAGUUGUGAAAGUUUGCGGCUCAACCGUAAAAUUGCAGUUGAAACUGGCAGUCUUGAGUACAGUAGAGGUGGGCGGAAUUCGUGGUGUAGCGGUGAAAUGCUUAGAUAUCACGAAGAACUCCGAUUGCGAAGGCAGCUCACUGGACUGCAACUGACACUGAGGCUCGAAAGUGCGGGUAUCAAACAGGAUUAGAUACCCUGGUAGUCCACGCAGUAAACGA